GGACAGCACGUGCCGCGGGUCCACCGACGGCCGCAGCACCGGCGGGUCGACGAACGUGUUGAUCGCCUCCUCCAGCGCGUUGCAGAACGCCGCCUGCAGCGAGGUGGAAGGCCGGCGGCGAGGCCUGGACGACCGAGGCGCCUGCCGCGGCGCAGCGGACGCCCUGCUCGCUCUCGCGGUAGCCACCCUUGUACCGGUCGCAUUGUUUACCGACCUGUCCACCAGGUGCUCUUCCGUCUCUUGUUGCUCGACCGGCUUGGGCGGCGAGGUGAGCACGGUGGCGGUGGCGGCAGCCGACGGCGGCGGAGGCGACGUGCUCUUCUUCCUUCUGUAGCUGGGGUUCGGUGCAGCAGCAGAAGACGCGGCAGGCGAGAUGUAGGAGAGCCUCCUCGAUCUCGGAGCAUGGGCAGCAUUGGCUUUGGCGGGGUAGAGGUCAGCCAUGCUGAAGUUGGAGGUGACAAGUGCUCCCUCCAUUUUCUGCAGUCUGGAGUCUGCAGAUCAAUGGUUCUUUGGAUUACUAACAAUUUUUGUGUUGGAACCCAGGUGAGUAGCAGCAAAUGCCGACACCGGUUCGCACACUACUGCCUUUUGCUGCUUGUAUGGCAUGGGUAUAUAUAGCCUUGGUAAAAGGCAAACUUACCCGGUGGAGAUGUUUAUUUGGUGAAAAUUCAAAGAUC
rnacentral:lncRNA from 1 species